AACGUAGGACGCAAGCGUUAUCCGGAGUUACUGGGCGUAAAGCGCGGGCAGGCGGUUGCUCAAGUCUGAUGUGAAAUCUCCUCGCUCAACGGGGAGCAGCCAUUGGAAACUGGGUAACUGGAGUCUGGCAGAGGUAGGCGGAAUUCCGGGUGGAGUGGUGAAAUGCGUAGAGAUCCGGAGGAACACCAGAGGCGAAGGCGGCCUACUGGGCCAGUACUGACGCUGAGCCGCGAAAGCCAGGGGAGCGAACGGG
rnacentral:rRNA from 1 species